rnacentral:rRNA from 1 species
CCAGUAGGCGGCUAACUAAGUCCGACGUGAAAUCCCCAGGCUUAACUUGGGAACUGCGUCGGAUACUGGUUGGCUUGAAUUCGGGAGAGGGAUGCAGAAUUCCAGGUGUAGCGGUGAAAUGCGUAGAUAUCUGGAGGAAUACCGGUGGCGAAGGCGGCAUCCUGGACCGACAUUGACGCUGAACGGCGAAAGCUAGGGGAGCAAACG